GCAUUCUUACUUUGCACCAGACACUGGUCGGACAAUUGAUAAUCAAAAGAAGGGCACAGUUCUCAAAGUUUAUGGUCUAGGCCAAAGGGUUAUCAGUGAAUUGUGUUUAGAUCAUUAUCUGACUACAGAUAAGAAAGAUCCAAUUUAGACAGGGUGUGGGAAUUGAGAAGAUCGAGGAGGAUCAUCCCAGAAGAAUUCUGGUAGGAAGAAGUCCCUGCAUUUGGUUUUCACCAAUGGGAAUGUGUACUGAGCACCUUCUUCCUCCCAGAGGCAGGAAACCAAUCCCAGGAUGACUCUGUUCAGCUACUUUGAUGUCCUACCAUUAGCUGACCAUGCUAGCAGCAACCAGCAAAGGUGGCUGUCCUACAAACAUAUCCUUUCAAAGUUCCUUCCCUGUAGAGCCUAGUUCCCUUCCAAAACUUAAAUGUUGGUAUGAGUUCCUGGCCAUUUAUUAACAUAUGUCAGGGACGACAAUAAAUACUUAACAACCAGAGAUAUAGAACAACAUGGCAAGCUACUAGACCCUUAACGAAAUCUCAGUGUGGCCACACAAGUCUAGGACAAGUCCAGUCCUCAUGUGUCUGCUUGGAAGCAUUCACGCCGACAACACAGAGGCAGUGUCUUUUUGUCUAUGAAAGCUUAUCAUCAUUUAUGUUCAAUGGAUACAUAUGAUUAUAUGUACUGUUGGGAAGAGAGGGAGAGUGGCUGGGUGGUCCCAGUAUUUAUCAUGGUCAAAUUGUUUAUUCAGUGUCAAUUAAAAUAGCAGACAUAAACAACUAGGAUGGAGAUUUAGAGCUACCUCGUAGCUGUUCCCAAGUUGCCAUGCUAAAGCAUGGCAUGAAACAGUUUUACUUGACAUUUUAGAGAAAAUCAUAGCUGCUUUUGUACAAAACAAGUGCCAGGAGGUUAACCACAGAAUCUCCCAAUUUAUUUCUCUCACAUCUUCAAGAACAUGAAAGAAUCUCACAAAUUGCAAAACUGUGGGACAUAAAUUUUCUUUUUGGGGUUGCUGUGAGAUGGGAUAAGAUUUGAAGCUUACACCCCAGUAGUCGGGAAGCCAAGGUUUAGGACAACUUCAAUUCUGUUGUGGGUGUUGUGUUGGGUCCUUUUCUACAUCUAUGGCUGUGUCUUUUGAAGAGGAAAUCCAUGAGGACAGGUCAGUGAUCCAAAGAGUCUCAUGUAUUGCCAGUUUUUCUCAUUUACAGCUCUUGUCAUUUUCCAAGUGACUGAUACACUGGCAUUACUGCCCCUUCUCUUCCUCUAACCAGUUUAACUUGACAGAGACCUUCAAUGAAGCUUGAAAGAUCACAGGUUCAGUCUGAAGUCUGAAGUUGUUGGCAGUUGACACCAUCAUAGAAAAUCCUUGUCACUGGUAAUCUCUGGGGUACAUGAUCCAAGAGCUAGUGGACCCCUACCCCCAUAUCCUCUGAUAUGAAGCAGAAAGGGAAGAUUUUCCUGGCUACUGGAUCUAGAACUAUUCCAAGAAUUAGCUGCUUAUUCUUGUCUUGGAAUGAUUCAAGUACUGUUCCUGGCUUAUGAAUGCACCCUGUUUGGGGGAGACUUUCUUAAGAGCACUUUUCCAAAUAAAUUGUCUGUUUUUUACAUUUCACUGAAUAAAGUCAGCACUUGUGUACUCUAACAUGCUGUAUAAUAUGGUGGUAAAAAGCUUGCUAUAUGGAAUUAGACAACCCUGAAUGUGAAUUCAGUUUCCCCCAUAUUAACUGUGUGGGCUUAGGUUAGCUUCUUCAACAACCCAAGUCUUGUCUUUGACUUUUGUAAAUGGGUAUAAUAAUAGUACCUCCUUGAUAAAGUUGUAGAAUGUAUGAGUAUUCAAUUCAUGGAAGUUAAAAUAUGAGCAUAGAUUGAGAGCACUCUUAAGUACUCAUGAAUGCUGUGAGAAUUAAGGAAGUUUAGUUGUUAUAAUCAACUAGGUCCCAUGAAGCACAAGAUGAUUUUGGAUUGGGAGUAAGGAUAAAGGAGUGAUUGACUUUUUUUUCAUUUGAAAAAAAUGCAUAUUUUGCAGUUGAAAAAAUAUUUCAUGAACUAGAUUGAAACUUCUGGCACGCAGUGUGAGCCAGCUCAGCUGAAUGUCUGUUACAUGGGGCUAGGCAGUGAGGGAUGCUUUACAAAGCUCUUCUGUGUCAAGGUUGAGAAUCAGCCAUACGAUACUCCCAGACAUACCUUCCUAACCCACAUGACUCAUUGCUGUGCCAAGCAUGGACAGUCUGUAUAUUUCUCUUUCCUGUUAUUACACAUUCCGUGCUGAUUUUAGUGUAGAAUGAACAUUUUAAUAACCUACGUGUUGAAAAUUGAAUUUAGUGAUUCAAACUUUUAGGGACUCCUUUCUAAUAGAGAGAAUGAGAUGAGAGAGAGAGAGGAGAGAGAGAGAGAGAGAGAGAGAGAGAGAGAGAGCACCGGAGCUACUUAGCAGUCUUAGAAGCAGUCUCUGAGCAUCCAUUGUUGGUGAUAAUCCACCUCAGAAGGAAGGCAUGGCCACCUCAGGAACAGGUAACUGUGUGCAUAGGUAAACCAGAGAACCACUGAAUAUAUAUUUAAUACUUGCUGAAGAGUAUCAAUUUAGAACAAGCAUGAAGAGUUAGAGAAGUUUGGUUGUGUUGAGUUUAGCAGUGUAAAAAACCUAAUAUUUUACAGAAACAGAUCCUGACUUUGUGACAAAGGCUUUGUAGAUGAAGAAGGGUGUCAUUUGGACCUUUAAGAGUGGAACUGUAUGAUUUGAUGGGGGAAGACAUGGUUCUUUGGGGCUGUUAGCAGAAUAAAAUACCCUCUAAGGCAGCACCUACCUUGAAGGCAACAGCCAUGCAGAGUCCAAGUAAAAGAUUUCACAGCAGCUCUGAGAGUGACGGGUGAAGGUGGCAUGGAGGUGAACGUGGCCUUGGUAGAGGGCAGAGACUUCAUCAUGUGAAUUGAGAACUACAGAGGUAAGAGCAAAAAACAAGCAUGUGAGUGAGAAGUGUUGAGUACGUAUAUGUUGAGUAUGAGAAGUGGUGAGUAUGAAUUUGAGGGAGAAUGAGAAUUCAGUGAAGGUGAGAGAAGACCUCUACAGUAUUUCCUUGGUAUAUGUUUUGUUGUGUCUAUUGCAGAUAUACAGCAUGUUAGGAUGAUGUACAUCAUGAAAUGGUUAGUACAGUCAAGUACAUUUUCCUAUCCAUGACUUUCCAUUAUUAAUCUUUUUUUUUUUUUUAGGUAAGACCACUUAGAACUACUCACUUUCCCAAUUUCUAGUCGACACCACAAUAUGAUUAAUUAGAGUUCUCCUGUUGUGCAUUAGCUUUCUAGAUGGAUUUGUCCUGUGUAUCUGCAAGUUUGUACCCUUUGACCUACCAUCUCCCAGCUCCUCCUCCUCCCCACAUCUGCUCCAGUCUUCACCUUCAUCUUGGACGUUGUUUCCUGGCUUCCAGUGCAGACCCUGCAGCCUCCUGAUAUGGACUCACCUGGGAUGCCACAGCGAGCUCCAUGACUUUGACUGUGUCCUUCCGACCUCCAGUGCAUAGACAGCCCCUUUGCACUCUUCCACACCUGACACUGUGGGCAGCCAUUGGAAGCCAAUCUUGUAAAUUCUUAUAUAUUUGUAUAUCUUGCAUUAAAUCUGUUUCUCU
ensembl:lncRNA